CCGAGUGAGGGCCCCCGGCCCGACCUCCAACCCUUUGUGAACACAAUCUCGUUGCUUCGGGGGCGACCCUGCCGUCACGGCACCGGCGCCCCCGGAGGACACCCAACACUGCAUCCAUGCGUCGGAGUGAUUUUGUAAAUCAAAACA
rnacentral:misc_RNA from 1 species